CGGAAACAGCAGCAGCAGUGAACUGCCGACCGACUCGACCGCACCGUGGGAGAUUAUAUUGCACAUGUAUUUGUAACGCAUACGUAUUUCUCUCUGCAAAUAAUUGAAAAUGCUAACAGCUGGCAACUUUGGCUUUAUCAAACUUCAUUGGUUACGACUGAUUUCCGCGUGCCCUUCAAUUUGCCUGCAACUGUCCCCAGCACACACGAAUGCAAACACAGAAGGCAAACGCGAAGCACUCACACAAUAAACGAGCUAGCGCUCACGUAGCCCAUCGCACAGUACAAAAACAAAGGCACAUGCAUGAAAAUCAAAACGGCCGACUGAAAGAGAAGACGCCACUAGAGAGAGAGGCAUGGACAAAGCCGUUUGAAUUUGUUUGCCAAAGCGAAUGGGGGAAAAAAUACGAGAAACUAAAGAAACAGCUGUAAAUACAUGCAUGGGCAUACAUACAUAUUUAUUAGAGUAUGUAUGUAUUGUACCAUUGUAAAUAUAUGUAUGUAUGUGUGUAUGCAGAUGAAGAGCGGCGCGUACUCCAAAAUUUGGGUCAACGGCCCAGUUCAAAGUCACCCGUUUAACUCAUUUUUGAAAGGGAUCCCAGCAACAAACAUACCCAAAAACAUACAUACAUAUGUACGUACAAUGCGUAAUGAUUGAUUGUAGCCCUUAAAUAUAUUACGUGCGCAGUCAGCGAACAUGGCACGUGCACCACGCGACAGAGAUGUCCCAUAUAGUAUUUCUUCACAGUCACAUUUAGCAUUGCCAACGACGGGUACAAAAUAAUUUGGAAUUUGUACAAAAUAUGUACAAUAUGACAUUCUUGCGGAUAGCUCAUAAAACAUAAUUCAUAAAACAAUGCCUCUAAAGAGAGUAAAGUGCAGGACUAUUCAUACACAAUGUGCAAAAGCGCGCGAGUCACGGCUAAUUCCAUUGCUCAGCACUGGUUUGUGGUCGAUGCUGUCGAGGGCGGCGAGCACGCACUCAUGGCGACCUUGUGACGUGCGUGGCCAGACGUAGUUCAAACUUCAUACAUACGUAAGUAUGUAUGUACGAUUAUCGUCUUGUUUGUUGCUAGGCACAUUGUAGGGCUGCAAACUGUAUCACCUACAAUGCACGCAGCAGAAGACAACUGUAAAAUGUUUGCAAUAUAUAAUGGCAGCAAUGGAUUGUGUGGAUCUUGAGCUAAUUUCUUGUAAGAGGGUCGAGGGGGCCGAAAGUUGCUUGAAAAGAGCCGCGAGUCUGACCAAUCUGUCACUUUCAUAGAUAAUAUGCAUACAUAUGUUUGCUUGUAAGAAGAAAUGAACGAACUAAGAUCAUGCGACAUGCCAUUUCUAAUUGUUUGAUAAAUAACAACAGACCGGGUGCAAUCUAAAGACGCGAAGCAGCGCCUACGAAAGAUUGAAAACGCAGCAAAAACUUGCCAAUCAGAUAAGCAGCCAAAUAACAACGUAAAGACUUGCGUACGCACGGCACGUACGCAAAACAAUUGAGAAGGGCCACCCAAGUGGAAGAAGCACGAAGACCACCCACCAAAGACGAUUAGCAAAACAAAACGACAAAAGAAAUUCGCAAAUUUAUCGAUGAAUCAGCACUAAAGUCAUCGGCCGGCCAUUUGCAAUUAGAAUUUUUGCCAGUUGUGUGCUGGUGUGUGUGUACUUUCGUGUGUGUGUGUGUGUGUGUUCUCUUAUAUCUGUUUGAACAGCAUGUGUAAAUAAAAGAAAAUAUAUGUAUGUAUGUAGAAACAAUUUGGACCGGCCAACUGCGCAACAGAAUAAUUACAAAGUAAGCGGCGCCAUUCAGUAAAUGCGACUGCACUUCGCAAGAGGUGUUAACAAAUCAAACAAUGUGCUCAGGUGUGUACGUGCAGCUACUCGGUAUGGGAAUCGCGACAGUUCGGCUCGGUUCGUCUCAACUCGGCCAUAUGCAUUACAUGACGCUGCACGUAACGGCAAUAAUAAACAGUAAACAUUCCAGACGACGUACGCCAUGCGCCAUAUUCGCAACUGCACCAAAUCUAAUCGCAGGGCAUAUAUUUGCUUUUGGCAAAAAAAAAAAAAAAGAAAAAAAGAACACCAUAAAUUAACGGGCCUGCAGUCAGCAGCGCCAAAGAUCCGAGCACGUAUAGCUUAUCGCUAAUUAGCGCCUUGUGCGUGCAUGUGUGUAAGCAACUAUCUAUGUAUGUAUGUAUGUAUGUAUGUAUGCAGGCGUGAAUGUAGAAUGUACAUUCAUAAGUACGCAUUUUCCGGGGCGUUGGCUUUAUCGCGUUAUACAUGUAUAAUUUGUUAA